rnacentral:rRNA from 1 species
GCGGCGUGCUUAACACAUGCAAGUCGAACGGAAAGGCCCUGCUUUUGUGGGGUGCUCGAGUGGCGAACGGGUGAGUAACACGUGAGUAACCUGCCCUUGACUUUGGGAUAACUUCAGGAAACUGGGGCUAAUACCGGAUAGGAGCUCCUGCUGCAUGGUGGGGGUUGGAAAGUUUCGGCGGUUGGGGAUGGACUCGCGGCUUAUCAGCUUGUUGGUGGGGUAGUGGCUUACCAAGGCUUUGACGGGUAGCCGGCCUGAGAGGGUGACCGGCCACAUUGGGACUGAGAUACGGCCCAGACUCCUACGGGAGGCAGCAGUGGGGAAUAUUGCACAAUGGGCGGAAGCCUGAUGCAGCAACGCCGCGUGCGGGAUGACGGCCUUCGGGUUGUAAACCGCUUUCGCCUGUGACGAAGCGUGAGUGACGGUAAUGGGUAAAGAAGCACCGGCUAACUACGUGCCAGCAGCCGCGGUGAUACGUAGGGUGCGAGCGUUGUCCGGAUUUAUUGGGCGUAAAGGGCUCGUAGGUGGUUGAUCGCGUCGGAAGUGUAAUCUUGGGGCUUAACCCUGAGCGUGCUUUCGAUACGGGUUGACUUGAGGAAGGUAGGGGAGAAUGGAAUUCCUGGUGGAGCGGUGGAAUGCGCAGAUAUCAGGAGGAACACCAGUGGCGAAGGCGGUUCUCUGGGCCUUUCCUGACGCUGAGGAGCGAGAGCGUGGGGAGCGAACAGGCUUAGAUACCCUGGUAGUCCACGCUGUAAACGGUGGGUACUAGGUGUGGGGUCCAUUCCACGGGUUCCGUGCCGUAGCUAACGCUUUAAGUACCCCGCCUGGGGAGUACGGCCGCAAGGCUAAAACUCAAAGGAAUUGACGGGGCCCCGCACAAGCGGCGGAGCAUGCGGAUUAAUUCGAUGCAACGCGUAGAACCUUACCUGGGUUUGACAUGGAUCGGGAGUGCUCAGAGAUGGGUGUGCCUCUUUUGGGGUCGGUUCACAGGUGGUGCAUGGCUGUCGUCAGCUCGUGUCGUGAGAUGUUGGGUUAAGUCCCGCAACGAGCGCAACCCUUGUUCACUGUUGCCAGCACGUUAUGGUGGGGACUCAGUGGAGACCGCCGGGGUCAACUCGGAGGAAGGUGGGGAUGACGUCAAGUCAUCAUGCCCCUUAUGUCCAGGGCUUCACGCAUGCUACAAUGGCUGGUACAGAGAGUGGCGAGCCUGUGAGGGUGAGCGAAUCUCGGAAAGCCGGUCUCAGUUCGGAUUGGGGUCUGCAACUCGACCUCAUGAAGUCGGAGUCGCUAGUAAUCGCAGAUCAGCAACGCUGCGGUGAAUACGUUCCCGGGGCUUGUACACACCGCCCGUCAAGUCAUGAAAGUUGGUAACACCCGAAGCCGGUGGCCUAACCGUUGUGGGGGAGCCGUCGAAGGUGGGACUGGUGAUUAGG